GGAGAGAUGGGUGAGUGGCUUAAACCAGCAGUUUGCUAAACUGCCGUAUCGAUUUCCGGUACCGAGGGUUCAAAUCCCUCUCUCUCCG
rnacentral:tRNA from 1 species